rnacentral:rRNA from 1 species
AUUGUGAGCUCGAUGAGUAGGGCGGGACACGUGGUAUCCUGUCUGAAUAUGGGGGGACCAUCCUCCAAGGCUAAAUACUCCUGACUGACCGAUAGUGAACCAGUACCGUGAGGGAAAGGCGAAAAGAACCCCGGCGAGGGGAGUGAAAAAGAACCUGAAACCGUGUACGUACAAGCAGUGGGAGCCUCUUUAUGGGGUGACUGCGUACCUUUUGUAUAAUGGGUCAGCGACUUAUAUUCUGUAGCAAGGUUAACCGAAUAGGGGAGCCGAAGGGAAACCGAGUCUUAACUGGGCGUUAAGUUGCAGGGUAUAGACCCGAAACCCGGUGAUCUAGCCAUGGGCAGGUUGAAGGUUGGGUAACACUAACUGGAGGACCGAACCGACUAAUGUUGAAAAAUUAGCGGAUGACUUGUGGCUGGGGGUGAAAGGCCAAUCAAACCGGGAGAUAGCUGGUUCUCCCCGAAAGCUAUUUAGGUAGCGCCUCGUGAAUUCAUCUCCGGGGGUAGAGCACUGUUUCGGCAAGGGGGUCAUCCCGACUUACCAACCCGAUGCAAACUGCGAAUACCGGAGAAUGUUAUCACGGGAGACACACGGCGGGUGCUAACGUCCGUCGUGAAGAGGGAAACAACCCAGACCGCCAGCUAAGGUCCCAAAGUCAUGGUUAAGUGGGAAACGAUGUGGGAAGGCCCAGACAGCCAGGAUGUUGGCUUAGAAGCAGCCAUCAUUUAAAGAAAGCGUAAUAGCUCACUGGUCGAGUCGGCCUGCGCGGAAGAUGUAACGGGGCUAAACCAUGCACCGAAGCUGCGGCAGCGACACUAUGUGUUGUUGGGUAGGGGAGCGUUCUGUAAGCCUGUGAAGGUGGCCUGUGAGGGUUGCUGGAGGUAUCAGAAGUGCGAAUGCUGACAUAAGUAACGAUAAAGCGGGUGAAAAGCCCGCUCGCCGGAAGACCAAGGGUUCCUGUCCAACGUUAAUCGGGGCAGGGUGAGUCGACCCCUAAGGCGAGGCCGAAAGGCGUAGUCGAUGGGAAACAGGUUAAUAUUCCUGUACUUGGUGUUACUGCGAAGGGGGGACGGAGAAGGCUAUGUUGGCCGGGCGACGGUUGUCCCGGUUUAAGCGUGUAGGCUGGUUUUCCAGGCAAAUCCGGAAAACCAAGGCUGAGGCGUGAUGACGAGGCACUACGGUGCUGAAGCGACAAAUGCCCUGCUUCCAGGAAAAGCCUCUAAGCAUCAGGUAACAUCAAAUCGUACCCCAAACCGACACAGGUGGUCAGGUAGAGAAUACCAAGGCGCUUGAGAGAACUCGGGUGAAGGAACUAGGCAAAAUGGUGCCGUAACUUCGGGAGAAGGCACGCUGAUAUGUAGGUGAAGCGACUUGCUCGUGGAGCUGAAAUCAGUCGAAGAUACCAGCUGGCUGCAACUGUUUAUUAAAAACACAGCACUGUGCAAACACGAAAGUGGACGUAUACGGUGUGACGCCUGCCCGGUGCCGGAAGGUUAAUUGAUGGGGUUAGCGGUAACGCGAAGCUCUUGAUCGAAGCCCCGGUAAACGGCGGCCGUAACUAUAACGGUCCUAAGGUAGCGAAAUUCCUUGUCGGGUAAGUUCCGACCUGCACGAAUGGCGUAAUGAUGGCCAGGCUGUCUCCACCCGAGACUCAGUGAAAUUGAACUCGCUGUGAAGAUGCAGUGUACCCGCGGCAAGACGGAAAGACCCCGUGAACCUUUACUAUAGCUUGACACUGAACAUUGAGCCUUGAUGUGUAGGAUAGGUGGGAGGCUUUGAAGUGUGGACGCCAGUCUGCAUGGAGCCGACCUUGAAAUACCACCCUUUAAUGUUUGAUGUUCUAACGUUGGCCCGUAAUCCGGGUUGCGGACAGUGUCUGGUGGGUAGUUUGACUGGGGCGGUCUCCUCCUAAAGAGUAACGGAGGAGCACGAAGGUUGGCUAAUCCUGGUCGGACAUCAGGAGGUUAGUGCAAUGGCAUAAGCCAGCUUGACUGCGAGCGUGACGGCGCGAGCAGGUGCGAAAGCAGGUCAUAGUGAUCCGGUGGUUCUGAAUGGAAGGGCCAUCGCUCAACGGAUAAAAGGUACUCCGGGGAUAACAGGCUGAUACCGCCCAAGAGUUCAUAUCGACGGCGGUGUUUGGCACCUCGAUGUCGGCUCAUCACAUCCUGGGGCUGAAGUAGGUCCCAAGGGUAUGGCUGUUCGCCAUUUAAAGUGGUACGCGAGCUGGGUUUAGAACGUCGUGAGACAGUUCGGUCCCUAUCUGCCGUGGGCGCUGGAGAACUGAGGGGGGCUGCUCCUAGUACGAGAGGACCGGAGUGGACGCAUCACUGGUGUUCGGGUUGUCAUGCCAAUGGCACUGCCCGGUAGCUAAAUGCGGAAGAGAUAAGUGCUGAAAGCAUCUAAGCACGAAACUUGC